AGACAAAGUAAAGACCCAGUCAUCAAUUUUUAAGAUUCCUUCUGUUGUUUCGCUUUUAUAAUAAGUAAAGUAAAACUUAAGUCACAAAAUCCCAAAUUCGUCAUAAACCACUAUGUAGGGCCACUGAUAAUUUAAGUUUAUUUUUUGGACAAAAUAUGAAGAGUUCAUUUACUAAGACAAACAUCUAGCAUUUCAAUUGAUUAUGCACAGCAUUCUUUGAAGAUGCCAUAGAUUCUUGCCUGAAGUCAGUUUUAGCUUGAACAUUAGUGAAUGACAUCAAACUUCCCAGUGGCUUCAGUUCCUAUUUCUUUUUUGUAAUUUCCUUUUUUAUUUCUAUUUUUUCCAGAUUACAUGUCAAUAUGAUGUUAAUGACCUUGCAUAAACUUAUUUGUAAUUCACUGUAUGUCAUCAUUUAGUUGAGAUUUGUAUUAGAAUUUAUUUUAACCAAAUAUUCUACAAUAGCUGCUUAACGGAUUAGUCUUAACAACUGGUAUAUUUAUAUAAAGUAAGACUGUUGUAAUGUUCUAAAAAUCAGUGCAGUGAUUCCUAUUAAAAGUAUACAGAGUUCUGAAUUACUACAAACUAAGUGAGAGGGAACAGAGAUACCUAUUCACAGGAAUAAAUUCAAUAUUUUCUUUCACUUGAUCAUUCCUUCUUAGCCCUUCCCAAUUUCAACACUACUGAUUCUCCUCUUUAUGUCCUUGCUAUAACUAACCUAAAUGAGGUUGUUACCUCUGCCUGCAUCUAAGCAGCUUCCAUCUGGACCUUUUAAAGUAUCAAUUUGAUUCUCCAAUGUUUCUUUCUCCCUUUCUGAUAUGUAUACACACACACAUACACAUACAUAUAUAUAUAUAUACACAUAUAUAUAUAUAUACUGUAACAAUGAUAGAAAUUGUAGUCCAAAUGCCAAAGAGAAAGUGUUUGCAAGUCAAACCAAACAAAACAUAACCACUUCCUUACUCUAGGAUGUCUACCUUCUUGGUUUUCGCACUAUCUGAGAAGUUACCUGUACUACUCCCUCUUUUUUCAUCUUUGGUUAACUCCUAUUCAUCCCCCCAAUCCCAUCAACUCAAAGCUCACCUCUUCAGUUAAGUCUUUACCUUUAGAGAGAAAGAGUAAGUUGCCCCCUUAUGAAGCCUUUAAAGAAUAAAUAAUAAUUGAUCAUGUGGCCAACUUGUCACAUCUAGGGAGAUAAAGAUAAUUUCUUCUCUCGAGAACCUCCAUUUAUUGGCAUAGAUAUGUUGACUAAUAAUGCAAUAUGAAUGUAAAAACAUAAAACAGGUGAUAUAUGACUAUUGCACAACAAGGCUGACACAAAGGAAAGCCUGACUUAUAAAGAAAAUAUUUGAGCUGGUUCUUAAAGGAUGACCAAGAAACUUCUGGGUUACUUUAGAUUUGCCUCAUAUCAUAGUGUUUUUAUUUACUUGUUCACAUUAGAUUUAUCUUUGCCUGGAUAAUGCAUCUUUUGCUCUACUAUGAGUUCUGUGUCUUUUUGGUACUUGAUGGGAUUCAUUAUUUAACAAGUCUUAGCAUGGAGGUAGCAUUCAGUAAUGUUUAUUGAAUGAAUUAAGACAUGAGUUGCUCAUCUAUUUCAAAAGUUUCUCUCUUCCUUUCUGUCUAUGCUUUAUCUUUCCUUCAAUUUUAAGUUCAAAAGUCUUGGCUUCCAGUUUUUUUUAAUAUUAUAUUAUACUCUUGCUAUUUUUGCAAAUCACUAAUUUUUUACUAAUUCAUUUUAUGUAAAAGAAAACAAAUUAUUUUCAAGUUUCUGAUAAUAUCAUUAAGAUAUGACCCAGUAAUUUAAAUGGAGAUGUAUGUGAAGGAACUAAAGACAUUGGUCUAAGUGAUCCACAGGGAAUUUAGUAGCUUUAUUGAUCAGCGAUCAAAGAUUCCUCUUUUUCACUAUUUCCUAGUCAGAUUCCUAGUCAGAUUCAUUUCUGCUGCACCACGACAGGAACUCCUAUUUUAUACAUACUCCUAAAAGCCUUAUUUUUGUAUUCUUUCAGAUAUUGUGUGCUUGUAGUAACCAAUAAAAUUGCCAAUAAAAUUUGUAAAUAUGGUGAAUUUUUAAACUAAUUUUAUCAUUAAUAUAACCACAUAAUGAAACUGAAAUUAAUGUUAUAUAACCAGAAUAAUAAUUUUUUAAACUAAUUUUGCUGAUUUUAUUUUGUUGACUUUGAAGGGUCACUUUAUGAAACAGACAAAAGUAAUCAUACAAAAAUGUUUUACCGAGAGUUUGGGUUUGAUAGAUGCAAACUCUUAAAUUUAGAAUGGCUAGACCUAAGGUCCUACUGUAUAGCACAGGAGCAUAUAUCCAAUCUCCUUGGAUAGACUGUGAUGGAAAAUAUAUAAAAAAAAAUGUUUAUAGACGUAUGACUGAAUCACUUUGCUGUGUAGCAGAAAUUGGUAUAAUAUCAUAAAUCACUAUACUUUUAUAAAAAAAUAAAUUUUUAUAAUAUCCUAUAUAAUACCAUAUAUUAGAAUCUAUUUUUAGCAACAUAACUCUAAAUUUGAUGAAUCCAUCAUUUUAUAGAUAUAUUAAGGCAUAUAAUGCAAAAAUUAUAAAAUAGUUUAGGAGUCAAAAUACAAUUGGGGAACUUACGAGUUCCCUAUUUAUUUUAAUGGUAGGGCAUAAACUAAAAUUAUUUUCAUUAAAAUCUACUUGUUCAACAAACAUUUAUUAAGCAUCAGCUAUGAUUAAGUUGUUUUACUAGGCAUUGCCAAUACAAAGGGGACCAAAAUAGACCUUGCCUCAAAGACACAGUUUACUAUUGAUAUAGUUUGUUUCUAUCAAUCAUAUAGUCAAUCAGUAAAUUUCAACUAUUGCGCAUUAAGUUUUGCUAGAGUUAUAAGUAGAGAGUCUAAAGGAAUUUUAUGGGUGCUUUUUAGGACAUCUGUUUCUAUUAGUGAAGCAUGAGCCCUUGAGUUUGAGGUUGUGAGUGAUAAAAUAAUAGGAAUAUUAGCUCCUUUUGAUCAUACAUGAUGAUCAUUCACUAAGAUGUGAAAACAGCAGUAAAAGAGAACCGGUAAGUUAUAUGUUAUCUUAGUUUCACAUAUUUUAAGAAUCUGUGGGGAGACCUAAAUAUGCACUUGAAAGGAAUUGAGUAUUUUCUAUUUGUUUUAAAACUAUUAAAAUAACUAUUUUCAUUUAACUAAUUCUAUACAGAAUACUCAUAUCACAACUGUCUUAUGUAUAAUUUAAGAGCUUUGGACCAAAAAAACCAAUUAAUAUACUGCCUUUCUUGAGCUUCAGCCUUCCUUGUAUCUGAAAGUAUUAAGUUUAAUGGCAAAGGGGGGAAAAGAAGGAGACUCGUGAAAAAUAUCCAGUACCAGUAAAGAAAUUAAGAAAAUGUAAUGUCUUUUGAACAGUGUCCUAGAGAAAGUGUUCAUAAAUCCAUUGGAAGAAAAAUGAAUAUGUAUUAGAUAUUAUAAUCUUCCAUUUCAGUGAAUUACAUUCUGUAAUCCUUCAUUAUACAUUGAAGGACAUAGCAUAGCUUUUCUUUCUAGCAUUUAGGUCAGCAAUGGUAUUUGAGAAAUAUAAAUG
rnacentral:lncRNA from 1 species